rnacentral:rRNA from 1 species
GUCCGGAAUCAUUGGGUGUAAAGGGUGCGUAGGCGGGCGUCUAAGUCUGGGGUGAAAUCUUGCCGCUUAACGGUAAAAUGGCCUUGGAUACUGGGCGUCUUGAGUGUAGAAGAGGUAAGUGGAAUUCGUAGUGUAGCGGUGAAAUGCAUAGAUAUUACGAAGAACAUCAGUGGCGAAGGCGGCUUACUGGUCUACAACUGACGCUGAGGCACGAAAGCGUGGGGAGCGAACAGGAUUAGAUACCCUGGUAGUCCACGCUGUAAACGAUGCAUACUAGGUGUUGGCCUUUCGGGGCCAGUGCUGCAGUUAACGCAUUAAGUAUGCCACCUGGGGAGUACGUCGGCAACGAUGAAACUCAAAGGAAUUGACGGGGGCCCGCACAAGCGGUGGAGCAUGUGGCUUAAUUCGAUGCAACGCGAGGAACCUUACCUGGGCUAAAUCCACAGUGCAACCUCCCGAAAAGGAGGGUCCCUUCGGGGCACUAUGGAAGGUGCUGCAUGGCUGUCGUCAGCU